rnacentral:rRNA from 1 species
AGCCAAUAAAGGAACUAUUUUGCUAGAGUUACUUGUGAAGGGGCUUGAAAGUACUAAUGGAGUAGUGAUAGAAUAUUACGAUACCUUUSUUCGUAAGAAAUAUAAUGGCACUGGUAAAGGCGAAGGCAUCCCCUUAUGUGAUAACUGACGUUGAAGGACGAAGGCUUUGGGUCGCGAACAGGAUUAGAUACCCUGGUAGUCGAAGCAGAAAAUUAUGAGUGUCAUAGAUUAGAUUUAGUUUAAUCUAUAAAUGAAAGUGUAAGCACUCCACCUUAAGAGUAACGUGGCAACACCGAAAUUGAAAUCAUUAGACCGUUUCUGAAACCAGUAGUGAAGUAUGUUGUUUAAUUUGAUGAUCCGCAAAAAACCUUACCACAACUUGAAUAUUUAUAUUAUUUAAUAUAUUUACAAGCGUUGCACGGCUGUCUUAAGUUAAUGUCGUGAGACUUUGGUUAGAUCCAUUAAAUUGACGUAAACCCUCGUUUUAGUUUUAUAUAAAACGGUUCACCGCUAUACUGGAUGUGAUAAUAGGGAACAAGACAAGUCAUCAUGGCCUGAAUGUUGUGGGCUAUAGACGUGCUGCUCAUUCCAUUACAAAAGGAUGUGAAAUUGUGAAAU